UUCUGAAUGACUGGUUUUUGGAUCUGAACUUUGGUCCAAGAAGGAGCAUCUUUCUGGCUUUACCCUGGAUUUACCCUAUGGAAACAUUUUGGGAAUAACUGAGGGGCAGUUGAUCAUUUUGACUGAAGCUCUCUGGGAUCUUAGCUGGUCCCAGAAGCAGUGUCCUUUCUGAGUUCCUCAGUUUUUCCCUGUUACAAUUUGUGAAUACCAGGACUUCAUUGAUCAUGAGAAGAAACCAGAAGAUUUUGUUUUUCUCUGGGCUCUGGAGAAACCCAGAGCCAAAGCUGAACUUCUGCUGGGCUUCAACCAAUUUGCUCUAGCUGCUCUUUUGAUAAUUUGGAGAUAAAGAUUAAGAUGAAUAUAUUAUUCAUAAGUUAUUUAUGGAAAUAGAUUAUUUAGGUAGGAAAAUUUGGGGUUAAUUUAGUGGUAACAAGAAAUAGAGUAUCCUGGUUUCCAGGAGAAGAAAGACCAUGAGGUCUAGAUAGGAGCAGGCAAAAGCUUAGUAUUUCAUUAGUUUUAGGUUUUCCUGUUUAUCACUUCAUUGAAUACUUUUAACUUUUAUUAAAUUAAGAUUAUUUUGUACAUAUGUCUCCUAUAUUAUCCAUUGUGCAAAUCUACAAAGUAGGCUCAAUACUGUUAGCUUGGCCCUUUUAUCUAGAGUAUUUGAUUAACAACAAUCAUAUCCUGAGUCUAGAUACUAUCUUUAACAGUUUUUAACAGCUCCAUUACAAAUAAGAUUGAUCUGGAGGUUUAUCACCUAAUUUAAAUUUAUUUGCAAAGAGAGAGAGAGAGUGAAGAGAGAGAGGGGGAAAGAGAAAGAUUGCAGUCUUACUAAUUUAAGGUAAGAUCAGAUCCCAGAUUUCAGUACAGCAAAGUCCUCUCCAUGUUGUGCUGUUGCUUACCAAGUGCCAGCCCAGGGAGUGCCAAAAGCUGGGAUCUUUGGGCUCAUCAAGCCCUAGCUUGCUGAGGUAAUUUACUCCUAGUUCAUCCUUCUGCCUCUUAGCCAGUACCACAUUGUUUUGAUGACCACUGCUUUAUAGUACAGAUUAAGAUAUGGUACUGCUAGUUCCCCAUCCUUCAUUUUUAUUUGUUUACAUUAUUUUCCUUGAUAGUCUUGACUUUUUGUUCUUCCAGAUAAACUUUGUUAUAAUUUUUUAAUUCUAUAAAAAAAUAUUUUUUGUUUUGUUUUUUUUUGAAAAUAUGACCCUGAAUAAGUAGAUUAAUUUGGGUAGGAUUGCCAUUUUAUUGUGUUAGCUCAUUCUACCUACAAGCAAUUAAUGUUUUUCCAAUAUUUAUAUCUAGUUUUAAUUGUGUGAAAAAUGUUUUGUACUUGAGUUCAUAUUAUUCCUGUGUUUCUCUUGGAGGAUAGAGUACUAAAUAUUUUAUAUUGACGCGACUUUAAAAGGAGUUUCUCUUUUUAACUCCUGCUACUGACUUUUUUUUUGAAAUAUUUAGAAAUGCUGAUGCUUUAUGUGGGUUCAUCUCAUACCCUAUAACUUUGUUAAUGUUCUUAAUUAUUUCCACUAGCCUUUUAGUUGAUUUUCUAGGAUUCUUUACAUCAUAUCAUUUCCAAAGAGUGACAGUUUAAUUUUCUCAUUGUCUAUCUUCAAUCUCUUCAACUUCUUUUUCUUCUCUUAUUUCUACUGCUAGCAUUUCUAGUACAAUAUUAAAUAAUAGAAGUGAUAAUUGUCUUCCUUGCUUCACUCCUGGUCUUAAUGGAAAGGCUUCUAACUUGUCCAACUUGCAGAUGAUACUUGCUGAUGAUUUUAAAUAUAUACUAUUUAUUAUUUUGUGGAAUUACCCUUCUAUUUCUAUACUUUCUAGUGUUUUCAAUAGUAAUGGGUUUUGUAUUUUGUCAAAGAUUUUUCUACAUCUAUUUAGAUAAUCAUGUGAUUUUUGUUAGUUUAAUUAUUGAUGUGGUCAAUUAUGUGGAUGGUUUUCCUAAUAUUAAAUCAUCCUUGCAUUCCUGGUAUAAAACCCACCUGGUCAUAGUGAAUAAUCCAUGUGAUAACUUGCUGUAAUCUUUUUGCUAAUAUUUUAUUUGACAUUUCUGCAUCUAUGUCCAUUAAGAAGAUUGAUUUAUAGUUUUCCUUCUCUGUUUUUGGUCUACCUAGCUUUGGAAUCAAUACCAUAUUUGUGUCAUAAAAAAAUUCGUAAGAAUUUUUCUUUGCUUAUUUUGUCAAAUCAUUUGAAUUGUGCACACCCACACUACAUGGGCAUGUGCUAGUCAAUGACAAAUCAGAAAUAACUAACUGCCCACCUGGUCUGUCCUAAGCCAAGCUUGAGCCACCAUUGGCACUUGUGAGGCACAGGAAAUGAAGAAGGGAACAGCCUCUGGAAUUUGCACUUCCUGUGGACAUAGCUAGGUGUGAGUUCGUGCUAGGAGCUUGAGGAGGGAGGAAGCCCGCAGACAGCUUCCAUUCAGAUCGGUCAUGUGAGUCAAGGACUGAUUUUCUUCUCUACCUUGGCCCUUUAGGCCUAAACUCCCUCUGGCUCAGCCAGAAGUUUGAGCUAACCAUUUCCCCUUUUCUCCUCUCUCCUUUUCUCCCUCUCCCCUUUUCUUACUCCCAUUGUGAUUAAACCACCAUACAUUCCAUUCUGACUUGAAUGCUUCAUUUAAGGAAUUUCAUGCGUAAAUUCCUUGGUGACCAUAAAUUAAUAUUAUAGCAACUUUUAAAGGUGAUUUUCACCUUAACAGUUAUAGAUGAUCACCCUCCUCUCUGAUAAUUAAGGAAUAAUUGAUCUUUGAAACUCACUUACCUCUAGUAUUCUUGGAUAAAAACAUUUUUACCCAGUCAGGAUUCCUCUGGUGAGCCUUCUCCUUAGAAAUCAAGUUACCCCAAACUUCAAUGCAGAAAAAUAAGAAUAGGAAACUCAUCCCAAGGGGAGGUCUAGCACAAGAUGGUUCUCUCUUCAUGUGAUAAACUGAAACAGAGGUUUCACUUUAAACUGGUUGAUGAGAAGUCCUUAGAACUAAGAGUGAGCAUAUUCCUCAACCAUACUUUAGAUAGAACUGGGAAAGGUUUCCUAUUGAACUGGACUGAAAAAUAUGAUUUGACAAAAAGGAGAGUAAUAUGGUACACAGAGUAAUAUUUAUUAGAAAGUAGUACAACAUAAUAUUGACUUAUCUUACACUUAAAUUAAUAUCUGAAAAAAUCAAUAAAUUAUAUGAUUUGUGACUGCUCGUACUUCAUUUUCCAUUGCAUGGAUAUGACCAUUUGGAACAAAUAAAGGGGCAAAUAGUAAAUGUGUAUGUUGCCUCAUUUUGCUUAUUAUGCUUCAUGAUUCACUAUGGUUAGUGUCCAUCAUGUGGUGACCAACCUUUUCAAAUGGAUGCCUCUUUCUUAGUUAGACUGUUUCUCUAUUUGUAAUCUGUAACUAGAACAAUAUUUGAUUACUAUUUCUCAUAAUUAAUAGAACUUGUUUGAACAUGAAUUCUGAUGGGAUACCUUUUUUUUAGAUCCCAGUGUUACUUUGUACUCAGUGAUAAGAUAAUGAAACAAAAGGUUAACUCAAAAUGUAUUUGCAUAAGACUCCAACUUGGUACAUAUUAAUUAUUUAGUGCUCUACACCUGAGGGUAAAACAGAGUGGGUAAGAGCUAGUGAAGAAAUAUCCUGAUCUUCUGACUGUUUACACUGGAAGAGAAGAUACAUGGUAACAACUCUUCAAGUUCCCAAAGCAAAAACAAAACUCUUGGACAGAGAGCAACAUGUAGAGGAACAGAUUAAAAACAAUUUCUAUUCAGAAGGGUCAAGAUGGAAUAAGUUGUCAGCACAGCCAAUUUAAUGGAAAGUUAUGGAUCUCUUCCAGUUGGAGUUGUAAUUAGUUGCUGGACAAAUAAAGGAAUGGGGUUGACUUACAAAUCAACCAUUCCCUGAAUAUGAGUUGGUAAGAAUUUCAUGAAGUUUGCAGCCUCACUCACCCAAAAUCUUUGAAGUUCAGAGGUAAAACAAAAAUCAGGAUGACUGGCAAUGUUCUGGGAUACACAGUGGAUUACCUUGCUAUCUUCAAUGUCUGACUAAGCUCUAAGCACUCCACUUCAUGGCCAUUGGAACAAAUUUUUCUUAUCUACCCCUUCUACCAGGACGGAAGUCCUCAUAUGCUUGUGAAAAAUGUCUCUCCCAUUUGCAAAUGGGUUUGAAGCCUAUUGUUUACCCUAAUGGAAGUGGUUAUUUUUUCAUUUAACAUUUUAUAUGUUGUUUGAUUCUAUCACAAAUGCAUGUUCCAUGUUCCAUUGCAUGUACAUUUUAUAACAAGUCAAAUUAUAUCUGUCUUAACUUUAUAUCCCUCUUACAUCUAAGAAUACAUUUCUAUGGCUUAUCUAGAAUUAAUUUCUGAUGUUAAGUUAAUAAAAAUGUUUUUUGGAGGUAGUGCUUCUGAAAUGAGAAAAUGGAGAUCCAUAGAGCCGUCAACUUCAUGUGGAUCUUUCUGGGUACAUUUAAUUUAUUUUAAUGACAAUGCUUUUAAAUUAUAACAGAAAAUUGAAGUUAAAACAACAACAACAACAUUUUUCACACAAAAUGCCUUCCUGAAAUACUUGUUAACAAAGGCAUAUUUCUUGUUCAGUUAAGGGUUGUAUUAUGUGGUCUCUGUGGUCCCCUGUACAUUUGAAAUUUUGUGAUUCUAUGAUAUAUUCCCAUUCUGUAUAAGGGCCUAAAGAAACUUACCUGAGAGAAAGGUAUUAAAAUGGGAUAUCUCGAGUCUAUGAGUGUGAAGGCAACCUAUGGGAAGGUGGAAUGGGGUAGAUAGGGUUUUAAGAGUUCUUUCAAUGGACUUAUAGUGACAAUCACAGCAAAGGGGCAUUAUACAUAAGAACUAACAGUUUAAUGGUACUGGUUAAGGACAGGACUGGAAUCACCAUGCAGGUCUUGCAUUUGGUUGAGUACAAACUCCAGUUUUUCAACUUCUGACAGCAUGUCUCCAUUAAGACAGAUUCCUAAGUGGUUCCCUAAGCCUCUUAGGAACAUACAUUACAUUUAGGAACCUGUAUUAGACAACAGCUGCUGGCUAUAGCUGAAUAAUCAUCCAUUCAAAUGGAACAGAUUCAAGGAAGAAUGUGAAGGGCAGUUUUUCUAUCUGUUCUGGCUCUGGAAGGUAUGCUCUAGUGCCCUGUGAAGCCAGAAGGAGAGAAUCAGGCUAAAAAACUUUAAGAUGCUGCUUAGAUUCAUAAUAUUCUUCUGGGUAAAUAGAUUGAAAAAAAUCAGCACUGAACUGUACUGGGAGAAAAAUCUUGUACCAUUCCCAAAAUAAAUGU